rnacentral:rRNA from 1 species
AUUGAACGCUGGCGGCAGGCCUAAAACAUGCAAGUCGAGCGGAGCGGCGGACGUGUGAGUAAUGCCUAGGAAUCUGCCUGGUAGUGGGGGAUAACGUCCGGCAACGGGCACUAAUACCGCAUAAUAUAAGAUGAGCCUAGGUCGGAUGAUCUAGUUGGAGGGGUAAAGGCCUACAAAGGCGACGAUCCGUCACUGUUCUGAGAGGAGGAUCAGUCAAACUGGAACUGAGACACGGUCCAGACUCCGACGGGAGGCAGCAGUGGGGAAUAUUGGACAAUGGGCGAAAGCCUGAUCCAGCCAUGCCGCGUGUGUGAAGAAGGUCUUCGGAUUGUAAAGCACUGUAAGUUGGGAGGCGUUACCAACAGAAUAAGCACCGGCUAACUUCGUGCCAGCGGCCGCGGUAAUAC